AUGGGUCUGGGGUCCCACUCGGCACUGCCUCCCCCUUUACUCCAUAGAUUACAGGGAGAAGCGGCAGCCUGGGGAAGAGGGGAAGCAGGGACCCCAGAUGUGGAGCCAGAAGAAGGGGGAGGGGGAACCGGUCGCUCACGGGCGGCCGCAGUCACCGCGGUGCCGGGAGGUUGGGGAGGUGACCUACUGAGAGGGACCCAGGAGCCUGGAGCUAGGAGCCGCAGGGCCCACUCACCGAGGAUCAUGCUGGGGACCCAGGCGCCCGGGGUUCCGCGUCGCUCUGUCCCGGGGGCCGUUCUGGCCGGGCUGGGGGUGCGGGGGGAGGAGUCGGGGGAGGAGCAGAGGCCGGCCGAGGCGGAGCGGGGGCGGAGCCCGCAGCAGGUGAAGCCGGGAGGAGGGGGUCCCGGGCGCCCAGGGCUCCAGGAGGGGGCGGCCUGGCGGCUCCUCGCCCCCUCCCUCUGUCUCUUCUACUUGUUGCCCCUGGGUCGCCUGGAUUUACGGAGUCACUGCAGCCAGGGCUGGGAGAACAAGACAUCUAGAAGAGGUGUUAGAGGAAGCUGGAAAUUAAAAUGCCUGGGUUCCGGAGAAGGGCUGAGUCUGAGGGUGGAAAGGUCCUUAGGGAAGGUCUGAGUGAAGAGAUUGCAAUCAAUGGACCCAAAGAGGUGGGAAUACAAGCUUGCAACUGAGAUCAGUAUGGCGAGCAGAAGAUGACAGAAGAUCCAGAACCGAGGCUCACCCUUGCAGAGAUGGCCUGGAUUAGGGUGGGGAAGGGAGCUUCUAUCCAGGGCCUGAACCCACGGCAUUCCCCACUAAGGUGAGCUUGGAUUGAAGAGGAUUGGUGGGGGUGUUUGGUGAGGUGGAGGGGAAGAUGGAGGAUGGGACAGAAUAUACGGGCUGAGGAGAAUGUCAGGGGGUGUGGGGUGUGGGACAUAUUCUAAGGACCAACGGGGGGCUUGGCUGGAGGUGGGCAACUGGGACCCCAGAAUGAGGCUGGCGUCUCUGAGUCUGUGAGGUGUCUGGGGAAGGUGCAGCUGCUGCGGCCUGGACCUGUCUGUACCUGCCCCAAGAGGGAGGGCGGCAGAAAGACUUCCCAGAAUGCCAAGCAGCCAGCUUUAGGCCAACCCCAGCCAGAGGGGAAGGAGGUAUGACUGGGAACUAGAGCACUUGGGAUUUAGGGAGGGUGGAGGCAGGGAGGAAGAGGUCAGUGGAAGGGUGGCUGGACUAGAGCCGAGAAACAGUUUAGGAAGGGGACUGGGGACUGGCAUUCCUGGCUUCUGCAGGGAAGUUGGGACUAGAUGGCUAAUUAAGCUACAGGAAAUUCAAGUUCCUGUUUCUGGACCUCAACAGUCUCUUGCCCUCACCCCACUGAUUUGGGUUGAAGAAAAGAUCUGUUUUUGCACCUGUCAAGAUGCUCCAGCUCAAGGGCAAGAGAAUGCUGGGGGUGCCAAAGCCUUGGUCUUGUUCUGAUCUAGAGGCCCAGAGAACUCAGGGGACUGUGGCCUUGAUGCUCAAGUCUGGCCUUGGGAAAGAAGGUGAGGUCUCUGAGCCCAUCAGAGGACAUCUUCUUGUUCCAGAUCUGACCUAUCACUACACCAUUCAACCCUAGUACCACAAAACCUGCUUCUCCUCAGACUCUGUUUCCACCCCCCCACAUACACUCCUCCUUGCCUCUGUCCAUUCUUUCUCCUUCUGGGUGGACUCCGAGAACAAACAGGAGUCAGCAUCAGGAGUGGCUGAUCAGUUAGAGACCCCUUUGUCUUCAGCCUUGUCCACUCUCCCACACUGCCCCCAGAGGCUCUGAGUUAGGGAGGUCUCAGAAGAGGGGUUGCUUAGCCUACCAAGGGGAGGCAGCUGGCUGGAGGGCGGGGUGACCUUGCAGGCAGCUGGGCUGGGGCAGUGUGCGGGGCGAAUUCAUUAUUGAUGAGCCCUGCACCCUAGGCUACUAAUGAGCCCAGGCCGGCUGCUCUAAUUGAUGUCAAGAAAUUUGAGACCCCCAGAUCAGCUUCCCGCCUGCCAGCUGCCUCUCCUGAGCCCCCUCCUCCUCCCUGCACCCCCAGCUGCUCUGGUCCCUUCCCAGGGCCUCCUAUUCCUCUCCACCGACACAGACAAGGAGAAGGCUCAGGCCUUCUAGCCCCCAUCCUCCUGUCCCUCUGGAUGAUCCAAGUCUCAAGAUGGGAGGCAGACUCGCUCUGGAGGCGGGGGAGAUUUGGGAGGGCAAACAGACCAGAGCCUGAGAAUUAUGGCUCAGGGACAGAGAGCCUGGUGCUAGAUUACCUCUGCGGCAUUUCUGAACCCAAGGAAUUCCUUUCUUAUAUUGUGCAUCCUUGGGAGAGACCUUGUCACACUUGAGACUCAGAGGGACAGGCACUACACAGACACACCCAUAACACCAGCCAAUGUGCACAGCCCACUUCCCCUCCUUGUUUCCUCCUCACAAUAGUGUAAGAAAUCUCAGACCUGACCCCUGGAGUUUGAUAGAUGCCACUCUCGCCCCUCCCCCAAUUCUCCCUGGAGAAUUCCCAGUGCCUUGUUAGGCCACUGCUGCCAGCCUUGGAAAUACUGGGUGGCUCACUGCUUCCUCAGGGCUCGUCCUCCCCAUUGUCCCUCGUCAUUUAUGGGUUCUGGACAGAAGUUCCUGAGGUACAGAAUUAUCAAGAAGUCACAGACUGGAGUGCAGAGCAGGCUUGGUCUCCCAGGAGAGAUAUUUUGAGGCGAUGCAGGUACUGCUAGGCAGGAGCCAAAGUUAAUAAGAAUAGCCCUGGUGAUGGAGGAGGGUGAAGCGGAACUCAUACCCUCCCUUCCCAAAAUUCCCAUAAAUUUGUGGCUAUGCUGCCCUCUUGUGGCUGAAUUCUGGUCUAGCAUGACAUGGACUCUGCCUCCAACAAACCCGUUAGAAUUUCAGCCCUUGUCUGCUUCCUCUUGGGGUACAUUAGGACAGGCCUUGAGGAGACAGAGGACCUUGAGGGGCCCCCUUACUUUGAUUUCUAUUCAAAGAUAUGAACCCCAUGGCAUGUUGGUUAAGCAAGACAUGGGCUUUCACAGUCAGACUAGGGUGAAUGUGACUCUGCUAAGGCACUCACGGAGUGACCUCGGGCAAGUUACAUAACCUCUCUGGACCUCAAUUUCCCCUUGCGUAAAUGGGGCUAACUCUGUACCUACCACACAGGAUUAUUGAUAGAAAUUAACUGAGAUAAGGUGUGUAAAAUAUUUAACACCCCUUCUACCCACCAGCAUACAAUAUACAAUAAAAACAAAACAAAACAAAAACCUAACUGGCUU
rnacentral:lncRNA from 1 species